rnacentral:rRNA from 1 species
UACGUAGGUGGCAAGCGUUGUCCGGAUUUACUGGGCGUAAAGGAUGCGUAGGCGGAUGUUUAAGUGAGAUGUGAAAAUACCCCGAGCUCAACUUGGGUGCUGCAUUUCAAACUGGAUAUCUAGAGUGCAGGAGAGGAAAGCGGAAUUCCUAGUGUAGCGGUGAAAUGCGUAGAGAUUAGGAAGAACACCAGUGGCGAAGGCGGCUUUCUGGACGGUAACUGACGCUGAGACGCGAAAGCGUGGGGAGCAAACAGG